AUUUACUCAACUAACCAUUGUAUUUUUAAUCUUUGUGUUCAGUUGCAGCAAAGAUGUUUUAUUCACUGAAGGCAGAAGACGGAAUCAUAAAAUCAUCCAGGCCUAUUUUUAAAGCUGGCCCUACAGAUAAAACUGAUUUUCUCCUUGGGUGGAUGAAUUAUGGCGGGUUUCUGUCUUGGCUAUCCCUGUGGAUGGUAUGUCAUGCAGAGACAGGGAACACAGGAGAUGAAAUUUACGGGCUGGAGCAAAAUAAUGAGCUCGUUUCUGGAUACUGGCUUCAGUGCUUGUGAAGACAUCUGGCCACAAAGCUGGUAUUGCCUUUGACUUAAAAAAACAUACACAACCUAGCUGGGACACAAUACAUGUUGACUAAAUGAAAAAAUGCUCAUUCAAUAAAUCAUUAAUUCAUCCAG